GUGCUAAGUUCAGCAGCACAUGUACCAAAAUUGGAACCACCCAGAGAAGAUUAGCGUGGACCCUGAGCAAGGAUGACAUGCAAAUUCAUGAAGCCUAUUUUUUUUUU